AAGGAAUUCAUAUUUACAAUGAAAAUUUGACCGGAUUUUUUUAUGUGCGAUUUAAAUAGACAUACAUUUUCACAAAUAAAUUGUCCAAGGUGAAUUAUUGCCAAUGUCUCUUCCCAAGAAUCAUGAUGGACAAAGUGACAAUUCAAAAGGAAUGGAUCCAACAUUAUGUUACUA